rnacentral:lncRNA from 1 species
GCAUAAGAGUGGAGCAAGGACAAGUCAGCCGGUCCACCAGGAAAGGGAGGGUCCGUAGGUAACACCUCCGGUGCAGCAGCUGCUGCAAUGUCAUCCUCGUCUCCUGCAUCCUGCUGAUGUGGUAUAUGAUCCUGGUCAUAUCCACCAUCCGUCACAUCAUGAUGUACCUGAUCCUGAUAGUUCAGGUACUCCACCCCAGUCUGGUCAACAGGCUGUGACGGGUCAACAACCUGUGACUCCUCAGGCUGUGUAGCCUGAGAGCUUCAUGAGCCAUCUCCCCUCCGACCUCUACCCCUCUUUGGGAUGUGGCC